rnacentral:rRNA from 1 species
AGAUUGAGCGCUGGCGGCAUGCCUUACACAUGCAAGUCGAACGGCAGCACGGGAGCAAUCCUGGUGGCGAGUGGCGAACGGGUGAGUAAUACAUCGGAACGUGCCUAGUAGUGGGGGAUAGCCCGGCGAAAGCCGGAUUAAUACCGCAUACGACCUACGGGUGAAAGCGGGGGAUCGCAAGACCUCGCGCUAUUGGAGCGGCUGAUGUCAGAUUAGGUAGUUGGUAGGGUAAAGCCUACCAAGCCGACGAUCUGUAGCUGGUCUGAGAGGACGACCAGCCACACU